ACUGAAUAGCCGUUGUUCUUCCCAGGGAUCAAAGCAGCUGGUGGUGGCUAUGGCCACUCUCUGAGCCACAUCCGGGUGUAAGAACCAUGACAUUCUAUUGCUGUGGACACCGUUAAAAACUCAGAAGACAGGAAAUAGAGUUGGGCACAGAUUUGAAAUGUCUGCACAGCGACCAGCGAGGACCUCCGGCUCAACAGAGAAAAAUGGGAGCUUUGAUCCCCAGCUGUUCCCCAAAGAACCAAAGAUCACUGCAGUCUGACUUUUACAGACUCCGGACCGCCGUUGCAGCCUGUGACUCCGAGGUGCAAACUCGGCCAACCCAGAGAGGUAAUUUUUGGGGGACUCAGAGGCCCUGCAGGAGAAGCUGGUGCGCUUUGUCAUCGAGCAACACACCUGGUCCCGGACUCAGAGAGGCUGAAAGGCGAUCCAGCAGGAGCUGAGGAAGCUGCAGCCUGGCUGCCACCUGCCACCAGCAAGAGCAGAAUGCGCCAGUUGCUACCGCUUUCAUUUCUGAUGCUUUACAAAGGCCAAGCUGAAGACUGCACCACCAGAAGCUUGGCUCCAUCUCCUCUUCCUGACUGGUGAUGCUUAGCAGUCCUGUCCUCUAGCUGAGUGGGUCUGGAAGGUGUGUCUCCCCCAACACACACCUCCUGGCGCGCUUCCCUGGGGCUGUGCUCCUGGCCAAACGGAGUGGUUUUCAGAGGCAGGAGAGAAGAGUGUGGUGUGAAUGGCUGAGAAUACCAGCUUUGGCUCAGGGCAGUGAGGUGAGUGGGACAAAGAAAUACUGCAAGGGCUUCUACAGUAUUUUCUUUCUUAAAAAAAAAAAAGAAAGAAAGAAUCUGCAGCAAAUAUGGCACAAUGUUAAGACUUUAUCAAGUUGGUUAAAGUCCAAGCUAUGUGUAUUCAUCCAUCUAUCUAUCUAUCGAUCGAUCGAUCCAUCCAUCCAUCCAUCCAUCUUUUUAUGGCCCCACUUGCGGCAUAUGGAAGUUUCCAGGCUAGUGGUCAAAUUGAAGCUGCAGCUGCAGACCUAUGCCACAACCAUGGCAAAGCGGGAUCCAAGGCACAUCUUGCGGCAAUACCAGAUCUUGAACCCACUGAGCAAGGCCAGAGGUUGAACCCAUAUCCUUAUGGACAUUAUCUCGAGUUCUUAACCCACUGAGCCACAACAGGAACUCCAUAUAUUUUUGAAAUACCUUAUAAGGUAGCUUUUUCUCCUUUUCCAACAUAGUUUAUUAUAAAGUAUUGUGUUCUGUAUCCUGUGCUCUACAGUAGGACCUUGUUGUUUAUUUUAUACAUAGUAGUAUCUGCUAAUUCCAAACUCCCAAUUUAUCCCUCCCAUUCCCUUCCCUGUUUGGUAACCAUAAGUUUGUCUUCUGUGUCUGUGACUCUGUUUUGUAAGUAAGUUCAUUUGUAUAAAUUUUUAGGUUCCAUAUAUGUGUUAUCCUAUGAUAUUUGUCUUUCUCUCACUUACUUAAAUGAUAAUCUCUAGGUCCAUCCUUAUUGCUGCAGAUGGCAUCUUUUCAUUCAUUUUUGGCUGAGUAGUGCUCCAUUUGUAUGUGUGUGUGGUACUGCAUAUUCUUUACGCAUUCAUCUGUCAGUGGACACUUAGGUUGCUUCCAUGUUCUGACGAUUGUAAAUAGUGCUGCUGUGAACAUUGGGGUGCAGGUAUCCUUCACAUUAGAGCUUUUGCAUUUUCUGGAUCUACACCCAGGAGUGGGAUUGCUGGAUCAGAUGUUAACUCUAUUUUUAGUUUUUUAAGGAACCUCCAUACUUUUCUCCAGAGCGGCUGCACCAAUUUACAUUCCCACCAAGAACGUAGAAGGGUUCCUUUUUCUCCACACCCUCUCCAGCAUUUAUUAUUUGUAGACUUUUUCGAUGAUAGUUGUUCUGACUGGGGUGAGGUUGAUACCUCAUUGCAGUUUUGAUUUGCAUUCCUCUAGUAAUUAGCGAUACUGAGGUUCUUUUCAUGUGCCUGUUAGCCAUUACAGCUUUGUUUCAAAAAAUACGUGCAAAGUGAGGUGUUGGACUUAAAAUAAUUUGCUGUGUUUAAUGAGUUUGUACAGAAUCUGCCGUGUGGAUGGGAAUUUGGGUAUUGAAAUAUGCCCAGCCUUUCAGUGACUUCCUGAGCACACCAUUGAGAUCAAGGCUGAAACAGUCUUUUCCUCAAAAUAGAGUCAGACGUCUGACUCACAGACACAAGGUAGACUCUUGAAGGAUAUGAACGUUUCUUCAAAUGGGACUUUCUUUGUGGUGGUAAUUUUUAUAUUUUCCAUCCAGAGGCAGUUUAUUUCUCAAGAUGGGUCCUUGCUGGGUACAAAGAGAUGUAUUUGUGCAGUCAUUCAUUGCCCAUGGCCAGGACACUUGGGCCUGGGGGUUGGUCGCCCAUGUGGAGAUUUUCUGUGGGGUUCCAGAACAACUGUGUCGAGAGGCCACCAUACCCUCACCUUCUGUGCAGUGGGCAUGUGUAAGUGUUCCCAGAUCUCUGCCCAUUGCUCAGGGAUGGUGCUCCUGGUGGAGACUCAGAGCCCUGGGGGUUGGCCAGGGCAGCAAGUUCAUGCCCGGAAUGGAGACAAGCCUUAAUUUGCUUCUGAGAUGGUUGAGGACCAGGGCAGCACUAUUUAUGGAGCCCUGGACCACUUCAUUAUGACCCAGUGCUGUUUCGAUGUUGUUUGGUUUGGUUUGGUUUCUCUGUUGAGGUAUAUAAUUACCCUUUCCUUGGCUAUGAACUUUCAGAAUACGGAGAGGCCACACACCCAAGGACCUCUUACAACUAGUGGUGACCUGCUUGACUUUCUAGGAGGAUCUGCCUGGCCAUCUCAGCCAGUCCUCUGGGCAGCAGCAAAGUGCCCAGGCGGGCUAAGUGUGUGCAGCAGAGAUUCGGAAGUCAGAGGUGGGCUGCCAUGUCUUGGCCUUGUGUCAUGGCUUGAAUGAACUGCCUUUUUCUCAUCUUUCUCCUGGCCAUGAUAGUAUCCAAAGCAAAAUGUUGCUGAAUAAAUGAAAGAGCCCCUGGUGGCUGAUUUGAGCAACAAAAUAUAGUGGUAUUGCAUCGUAAUCCAAAGCAUAAAGCAAAUAUCCAUGAGUCUGUACUGAUAGAAAGGAAUGAUUGAUAAAUUAAUAAAUGAGGGCAAAGACUCACAUCUUCCAUGCAGAUGAAUUCCAAGUAAUUUAUGCAGAUAUUUCAUCCUAAAGGAGAGGCUAUACAUAGCAACUUCCUUCCAAGUAAGAGGAACUUUCCAGGGGAGAGUUCCUCCUCCGCUAGGUAAAUAAGGUCAGCAGCAGCAGUCAUAAAUCGUGUCGCUAGCAUGGACCCUUGAUGUGUUGUGAUGAAAAGAGCACUUUACUUCUUUGAUCUUCCUCCCCUAAACUCACAACCUCAAUCUAAUCAUGAGGAAAACACCAGACAAAUUCUGAUACUAGGACAUCCCACCCUGUACUUGACCAGUGCUCCUCAAAACGGUCAAGGUCAUCAAAAAACAGGAAAGCCUGAGAAACUGUCAGAGCCCGGAAGAACCUAAGGAGACAAGAACAACCAAAUGUCAUGUGGCAUCCUGGACAGGAGGGUCCUGGAACAGAAAAAAGACAUUGGCUUAAAACCAUAGAAAUCUGAAUCAAUGAUGGAACUUAAUAAUAGGAUAUGAAUAUUAGUUCAUUGAUGGUGACCAAUGUACCAUACUAAUGUAAGAUGCCAUUAAUAGGGGAAUUCUUAGUGUGGGGUGGAGGACUAUGUGAGAAUGAUGUAGAAUCUCUGCAAUUUUCCCUGUAAAUUAAAAAAUAAAGCUUAUUUAUUAGAAAAUUUUUAAAACCAGAAAAAACAUGAAGAGAUGGUUAUAACAAACAUUUGUGUUCCACACAUGCAUGAAUAAUUAAGAUUUCAUCAUAUUUACUUUGACAAUAUUAAUAAAUGAAUUAUUAAAUUAAAAGGGUUGCUGGGAAGAUCAACUGAAAAUAUGGCUGUAUCUAUAAAAUAGAUAAAGAACAAGGGUUUACUGUAUGACAUGGAGAACUAUAUUCAGUAUCUUAUAAUAACCUAUGAUGGAGAAGAAUCUGAAAAAAAGUGUAAUGAAUCAUUUGCUAUACACCUGAAACUAACAUGAUAUGGUAAAUCAACCAUACCUCAAUUAAAAAAAUAUUUUUUUUAAGUCCCGUAACCCCCCAACCACCCUCACCCCCAAAGAUGGAUGUAAAAGUACUAUAGCACCGUCUUGAACGGGGACAGAAAUACUGCUGUGCCACUGCGAGGUCUAGCUUUGACAAGACUGACUGCUUCUGCCUUCUUCCUUCUGGAACUCAACUGCCAUGCUGUGAGGCAGCCCAUGUCGCCAUGUGGAGGAGCCCAGGAUUCUUCUCCACUUGUCGCUGAAGUCCUAGCCGACAGCCAGCACUGGCUCGCCAGGAACGUGAGUGAAUCACCUGGAAAAUGCAUCUUCCAGCUCCAGCCAAACUGACCCUGCUGAUGCCCAUUGGAGCAGACAGGAAUUGUCCCCACCAGGCUCUGCCCAACUGCAAAAUCAUAAGCAAAUAUAUGAUCUUCCUGGUUUUAAAGCUUGAUUUGGGGAUGAUUUGUUACAUAGCAAACACUGUACAAAAAGAAAUAUUUGACCUCAUGUUCUAUCAUUUAUUUAUUUAUUUUAAAAAAUUCUUCCACAGGUUGAGAUGUUUCCCAAAAUGCUUCACACAUUUUCUGCGAUGACAUAUUUUACAACUAUUCUGUAGACUCAGGUCCUAGCUCUUCGUCAUGGGGAGAGCUUCCAGCCAUAAAUACCAUUUUAGGGAAGAGUUUCCUGAAGAGUGCCCUGUGGAAUGGAAGACCUACACAGUUCUCUAGAGCUGCAGUGUCCAAUAUGGUAGCCAUAAAUGGCUACCAAGCACUUGAAAUGUGGCUAGUUUGAGAGGUACUGGAAGCAUACACAACUCACCAGGCUUUGCCCAAACUCACCAGACUUUUUUCUUCAAAAAAGAAUGGAAAAUAUCUCCUUAAUAACUUUGUAUUAUGUGUUGAACUGAUACUAUUUGGAUGUAUUGUAUUAAAUAAGAUAUAUUCUCAAAA
rnacentral:lncRNA from 1 species